rnacentral:lncRNA from 1 species
AUGUUCUUUGUGUUUGCCGCCCUUCCUUUUUGUUUGGGGCUGCAGUCUUUAUGUUGGGUGUUUGUUGAAAGUCACAUUUAUUAAAAUAAAAAAAGAAGCGUAGUUGCAUGUUUACCUAGUAUUCUUAUGUAAAUUUUUUUAUUUUAAGUUAAUGAAUGAUAAGAAUACUGUUUUAAAUUGAAUACGGAUCCAUGCACACCCUAACUUUCAAACCAUUUUGACUUUCAUUUUUAAUAAAAAUCUUUAAAUAAUGCAUGUUUGACCCGAAACAUACAAGUCAAAUCAACCAAAUUCAAGUUAAUAGGUCAGCAAAGUCACCUCCUUCACAUAUUAGUGAGAUGAAAUGAGCCACCUUUUUAAGACUCAAGGAUUUUAAAAAUAUAAGUAGCAAGUAAACUUCAAGCACCAAAAUUCAGAAUUUAGUUCUGGAUCCAUCUCAUCACAUACAAGCCAAUUUCCAGACCAUAAUUGUGAAUUUGCAAGUUAUGAGAUCACAUGAACUGAUAUGAUGUCUAGCCAGCUAGUGGAUUAGAAUGGAUUGUUAUACGGUUAAUCCUAAUCUCCGCCAGUGGCCGGUCCCCAGCUCCUGCUGUUGGAGUCUGC